rnacentral:tRNA from 1 species
GUGGGUAUAGCUCAGUGGAACAGUGGGUCCUUAGUAUGCACAAGGUCCUGGGUUCAACCCCCAGUACCUUCA